rnacentral:rRNA from 1 species
ACGCUCGACACCUACGGAGAGGCAGCAGUGGGGAAUAUUGCACAAUGGGGGAAACCCUGAUGCAGCGACGCCGCGUGAGCGAAGAAGUAUUUCGGUAUGUAAAGCUCUAUCAGCAGGGAAGAAAAUGACGGUACCUGACUAAGAAGCCCCGGCUAACUACGUGUCAGCAGCCGCGGUAAUCUGAGCGGGCUGGCAAGGC